rnacentral:rRNA from 1 species
UACGGGGGGAGCAAGCGUUGUUCGGAUUUACUGGGCGUAAAGGGCGCGUAGGCGGCCACCGCAAGUCGACUGUGAAAUCCCCAGGCUCAACCUGGGAACUGCGUCCGAUACUGGCAGGCUUGAAUCCGGGGAGAGGGAUGUGGAAUUCCAGGUGUAGCGGUGAAAUGCGUAGAUAUCUGGAGGAACACCGGUGGCGAAGGCGGCAUCCUGGACCGGCAUUGACGCUGAGGCGCGAAAAGCUAGGGGAGCAACGG